GACGAACGCUGGCGGUGUGCUUAACACAUGCAAGUCGAACGGUAAGGCCCUUUCGGGGGUACACGAGUGGCGAACGGGUGAGUAACACGUGAGUAACCUGCCCUCAUCUCUGGGAUAACAGUCGGAAACGGUUGCUAAUACUGGAUAUGAGCUUGCAAGGCAUCUUGUGGGUUGGAAAGAUUUUUUUUGGUUGGGGAUGGACUCGCGGCCUAUCAGCUUGUUGUUGAGGUAGUGGCUCACCAAGGCUUCGACGGGUAGCCGGCCUGAGAGGGCGACCGGCCACAUUGGGACUGAGAUACGGCCCAAACUCCUACGGGAGGCAGCAGUGGGGAAUAUUGCACAAUGGACGGAAGUCUGAUGCAGCAACGCCGCGUGCGGGAUGACGGCCUUCGGGUUGUAAACCGCUUUCAAUUGUGACGAAGCUUUUUUGUGACGGUAGCAGUAGAAGAAGCACCGGCUAACUACGUG
rnacentral:rRNA from 1 species